CAGUAGCCACGGUAAUACGAAGGGUGCAAGCGUUAAUCGGAAUUACUGGGCGUAAAGCGUGCGUAGGCGGUGAGUUAAGUCUGCUGUGAAAUCCCCGGGCUCAACCUGGGAAUGGCAAUGGAUACUGGCAAGCUAGAGUGUGUCAGAGGAUGGUGGAAUUCCCGGUGUAGCGGUGAAAUGCGUAGAGAUCGGGAGGAACAUCAGUGGCGAAGGCGGCCAUCUGGGACAACACUGACGCUGAGGCACGAAAGCGUGGGGAGCGAACAGGAUUAGAUACCCCCGUAGUCCCUGUCUCUUAUAC
rnacentral:rRNA from 1 species